CACGCACACACACACACACACACACACACACAGACAGAGCAGGGUAUCAAACUUGGUGGAAACAGAAAGCAGGAAAUAGGGGCGGGGCAAAAAACACCAAAACAAACAAAAGCACAUGUGCAAACA